GUAGGUGAACCUGCGGUUGGAUCAUUACAAAAAAUAUAUACUUUAAAAAGAGGGGAUUCAUUUCCCCUUGCUUUUAUCGUAUCCAUUAUUCGAAUCGAAUGCGCAAGCAGACGAGGAGAAAAAUACAAACAUAUUGUGAAAUGUUUCUGUCUCUGGCGAGCGGGCAGUCUAAACAACUGCUUGUCAGCAGGGUCCCUUUCUGAGGGGUCUUGCCGUGGACAACUCGUCAACCCCUUCUAUUUUAACAUUUGCUGUACCUAAUUUGUCUGACAUAACCUGUAUAAAUAUACAAAACAACUUUUGGCAACGGAUCUCUUGGCUCUC
rnacentral:misc_RNA from 1 species